rnacentral:rRNA from 1 species
GACGAACGCUGGCGGUGUGCUUAACACAUGCAAGUGGUGCGACGAACCAGAGCUUGCUCUGGGGCAAAGCCGCGAACGGGUGAGUAACACGUGGGUAAUCUACCCCGAUGACCGGGACAACCCGAGGAAACUCGGGCUAAUACCGGAUGUGGUACGGAGACAUAAGUCUCUUUACUAAAGGUAGCUUCGGCUUCCGCAUUGGGAGGGGCCCGCGGCCCAUUAGCUAGUUGGUGGGGUCAAGGCCUACCAAGGCAACGAUGGGUAGCUGGUCUGAGAGGACGAUCAGCCACACUGGGACUGAGACACGGCCCAGACUCCUACGGGAGGCAGCAGUGGGGAAUCUUGCGCAAUGCGCGAAAGCGUGACGCAGCAACACCGCAUGAGGGAAGACGGGCCCUUAAGGGGUUGUAAACCUCUUUCAGAUGGGACGAAGGUGAUGCGGUGAUAGCCGAUGUCAUUGACGGUACCGUCGAGAAGAAGCUCCGGCUAAC